rnacentral:tRNA from 1 species
GCCAAGGUGGUGAAAUUGGGAAACACACUAGUUUCAGGAGCUAGCGGCAGAAAUGCCUUGUGGGUUCAAAUCCCACCCUUGGCACAA